CAGCAGCCGCUUGAGGUUGGAUGGAGGAGUAGAGCAUAAAGAGCUGAUGCCUGUGCCCCAGCUGCUGGGCCAUGGCAUGGCCUCUUCCCCUGGCCACCACUGCCUGUGGGUGAGGGCUGGCUGCCACCUCCUGAAAGGGAGAAAAGGCCCCAUGGCUGUCCUGUGUAUGCCAGUAGCAGUGGCAGGUGAGCAUCCAGCAGGAAAAGCUGUGGUGCUGUGUCUCCAAUGGGUGGAAAGUAUGUUGCUGUUAAAAUAAGAUACGGAAAACAAGAAAUGUAUACAUUUUUUAAGCACAGUUAAAUGCUUACGUCCUGAGUAAACUGGAGGAGAUCGCACUAUAAAUGGAAAGAGCCCAAAUACGACUUUAAAGGAACUUUAUGCAUGAAGACAUACUUUGCAUCAGCCACCCUGGCUACACACUCCUUAGCAGAAAAAAAGAAAUACACAGACAUUUCUUACCUCUGAAUAAUUUACUACAUGUGCAUUCCCAUCAAGAUGGUGAUUCUGCCAUGUCUGUUAUGGAAACCAAAAGAAUUUGUACUUCCAAAAUAACCCCCAGAGAGUUGCUUUGUAUUUAUAGAGACUUUCAGAUUGUCAGAGAGCCACUGGACAACUUAUUUAAAGGUACCAGAUGUUAGAAGUGAUGUGAGAAUCAGACAUGGAAGCAGACUUUCGCAGAAAUCAGAGUCAAUUCAGAUUUUGCUCAGACAGGAGAAUGAGGGUAAU
rnacentral:lncRNA from 1 species